ACUUUUCACGAACCCACAAAGUAACCUAGCAUAGUCCUCAUCUUCUUCCGAAUCGAUAGUCCUCUUCUUCCUCCGAUUCAUCGAUUCAGUCAGUGUUCUUCUACCUCAAUCCUCUUCUUCCUCCGAUUGAUGCACUUUUCGCCUCUAAUUUCCACUCGAAUUGAAAGAACGAAGAAAACUCACUUUCCGCCGGACUCAGCCUUCGUCAGCUCACCACCGUCAUCUUUCUGUUCAUUUGUAUAUGAAGCAAAAGUCGGCAUUGAGGGUUUAUAAGAAGAAGAAAUACUUGCCUUUGGAGUUGCGUCCUAAGAAGACAAGAGCUAUUAGAAGACGUCUCACCAAGAAUCAGGUACUUUUUUUAGCUUUCUGCACCGUUUCUGUUUUUAUUUUGUCUAGUAAGUGUUUCUUUCUAUCAAGAGAAUCUGCAAAUGAAACUACGCUGAGUGAAAUGGUGGUUCGUACUGUGCGGGGUGUGCUGCAUAUUGUUGCUGGGAGUGGGUUGCAGAAAUGGGAUGGUGAAUGGAGGGUAAUGGUUUGAAGGAGGAUGUGAGCAGUUUGUUGUUCUUUCGGUUUACGGCGGCAGAAGCAUUCAGAAGGUGGAGCGAAUGUUGGGUAUAUGUGUUUUUCUUUGACUGAUUUUAUUUAUGAAGAUUCAAUCUGUUAGAAUCUAGAGAUGUUUGCAAUUCAGAUACAUUUAGAGACUAUAGUGUUUGUUUGUUGUUUUAUUUUAUAACCUAGUUUAAAUUAUAUUUGAUUUAAGAUUUAACCAUUUUUUAGAUUUUUGAAAUAGAUUUUACGGAUUUAUUGUUUGUUUUCAUGAAAAUGUAUACGGUUGUGUGUAUACGUUGUUACCAUCAGGAUUGUAUAUUAUAAUAGUAGUUAGAGUGAGUAGAAGGAAAAACAUUAUACAAGUAUUUCAUUUUUAUCUAUGGUGAUUUGCAUUGUUGUCCUUUCUUGUUUGGUGAUUGAUCUUCAUGUCCCUAUCACUACAUCACUGUCCUUUUCAUUGAAUAUUUGUUUGUGUUUAGUUAUGCUUUAUUGACAUUUAUUAUUUGUAGUUUUGCAUUUAUAGAACACAGAUUGAUAAAUGCUCGCUAAAUUUUGAGUUUGAACUCUGUUUAUUGUCCACUUGUUUGUGGUAUAAAAUUAUAAAACCUCUGUUUGGCAAUUUUUAUCCUAUACUCACUUUUAAUCUUGUGGUACAGGCUAUAACAUCCUCAGAAACAAAGAAAGGUGAACUGUUUUUGGGUGAUGUUAAUACUCGUUUUGAGAAUACUAACCUUGAGAUAUAACAUGCUAUAGUUUUGUAAUUGAUUUGUUUUAGCUUUGGUCUCUUUGAACUUGAAUUGUUUUAGCAUUCUAAAGUCAUUGAAUUGAACUUCAAAUGGAGAGAUUAUUUUAGCUAUGGGGAAUGGUCCUCACAUGAUGAUGAAUGGGAAUCAUGCACAGCUUAUGAAUGCUAUAAGGGCUGCCAAUUUUAACGUGGCGCAAUGGUUGGAAAUGAAAGACUUCAGCAACCAAUGAUGUAUGCAAGGCCACCACCAGCUGUGAACUACAUGUACCCUCCAUACCCUUAUCCUCCUCCAAAUCCUUACACAAACUUUUUCAGUGAUGAAAAUACUUCAAGCUGCAAUAUCAUGUGAUCAAAAUUGGUGAUGAUAAUUUGGUUCAAACAACCUUUUAAUUUAUGCAAUAUUAUACGAAUGGAACAUGAGUUUUUUUAUUUUCAUUUUCUUUGAUUUGAUCCCUUUUCACCCUAGGGGUUUCUUAUUACCAUAGAGGGAUUGAAUUAGUUUAUAGAUAUAUAUUAUAUGUUAUGAUAUAUAUUAUUAUCAGUUCUAUCAUCAUCACCACAUAUGUUUAUAUAUGUGUUUAUAUUUUGGAAAUAGUAAUAAAAAGAUUUCAGGAUGAUAGAAGUAUAAUAUUGAAUGAAACUCCAUUUUUCUCUUUACUUGAUGACAAUCAUUCAUAGUGUGUGUUGGAUUAUUAUCUAAUGGCAUCUCAUCUUAUCUGUAGACAUUAUUUUGUGCCUCCCUUUGUUAUAAUGCGACACAAAUGAUGGAUGUUUGUUUGUGUGACGUGGUGCGGUGGAUACAGUGUGAUUUGGGAAAUUCAACCAUUUUAGGUUAGUCCUACUCACUUGGAUACAGGUACGUUUGUCUCCAAGGUGCCUUGAUACAUAUCCAAAUUUGAUUAGGCUUAUCAUUAGUGGCUAUCACUUAUUUUUAUUGGUCUAAUUAAUUUUAAUUAGAGGAAAGGGAAUUUGAUUUUAUUGGAGAUUUUGUUCUAAUUGAUUUUUCCCUACCUUUUAACUUUUCAUACAAUUGGAGUAUGAUUCAGAGGGUUAUUCUUCCAGCCAACAAUUUAUUGCUAGUUUUGUAAUGCAAGUUCAAGAAGAAAUGCGGAACGGACAAAUAGAAUUGGAAAAAUAUAUCAUAAAAAAGACAUUGACUAAACCACCCGAGGCAUAUCCUGAUGCCAAAAAUCAGCCACAUGUUCUUGAUAGAUUUAGCUGAAGUCAGCUCAGUUCAUUGAAGUUAGUUCUUCGAAAGCUCAAAUUUGAUCAGCAAAAGAGUGUUAUGGACAACCUUGUCUCAAAUACAUGUGUUCAAUGGAGUAUCUGUGGUUCGGCGCUUUUGGUUCGUGAAGUGAUGUAGUUUUGUUUUCCUUUCUUGUUUUUUUAGGUCUUUUAUUUAGAGAAUAUAAUUGUUUGUUUUGGAUUUGGAUUGAAGUACUCGUAGUUGAAAUGCAUGCAUCUACAAAUUUGGCUAUGCAA